AGCUUUCAGGAAGCGUUUGUUAUGACUACGUGUGUUGGUAAUCUUAAACACCACUGUUCAUACGAUUGUACAUAUAAUUGCCCUGGAUGGGCGUAACAGUUUGUAUAUGUCGAACAGGAACACCAUAUAAAUUACAAACAACGAGAUUUUCAAUUAAUAGACUCAUGAUUUGAAGCCAUUAUGGUUGAAGAUUGCAAGAUGAGUACCGUUUCAGUACGAAGCAAGGCAGGGGAGAAGUUUCUGAAGUUGAAUGGAAUUAAGGCAACACAUUUUGAUGUUGACGAUGCAAAUAAAAACUGUUCUCUCCCACCAAAUACACUGCCCAUGGAAAACCAAGUUGCAGGACAUUCAUU